rnacentral:lncRNA from 1 species
GGCGGUGGCACCCGCGCCUCGCCAACCGGGCUCCUCCUCCUGCUUCUCCUCCCCACCCCACCGAGCCCUGACACCCGCUCCGCGGGGGUCCCCGCCCAGUGCCCUCCGGGCAGGAGCCGGGACUGGACACCGAACCGGGAAAGGCGCUGCGCUCCGGGUGGCAUCGCCCUGGGAGCGAUGGGGUCUUGCUUGCCGCCGUGCGCCCUCGCGGGAUUCGAUCCGUCUGCCCUCUUCUCCACGGGCUUCCCGCCCGCAGCAGCUGUCUCCGGACACGCACAUUCAUUCACACAGCCGCUAGCAAACCCAUUCUUGUGACUCCCAGGGACCCGAGGAGCCACGGCGCGGAGAGAUACUGUACAACAGACAAGCUAAUGGAACAACUUUGAGACUGCACUGUUAAAGAUCCAACUGGCAAGCUUCUGACAUUUCCAGUGAAAGAAGCUGUCUUCUAUUUUCCUGUCCUUUGGAUGAUGGAGUCAACCAGAUGUUACUCUGUUUUACAGGACAGAGCACCCGCUUCUUCCUGUCAACUGGACACCAUCCAGAGCUCCAAGCGGGCACCUGCAUUUCCUGAAGGACACCUAUAGUUCACUGUCACAUGGGCUUUCCCAGCAUGGCCACUGACUUCAUGAAGCCAGCAAGGAGAUUCACCUGGCAGAACAAACUCUGAUGUAACAGAGUCACACAGGGACCACAACAAAUGUGCACAUCUUAUUGGCCAGAAAGCUGAUCACAGGCUUCACAUAUGCUCAAGGAAAGGGUAUUAUACAGGGGCAUGAACAGUAGGAUAAGUCUGUCCAUUCCAGUGGAUAAAAGGAUCCAUUAUGCCAUUCUUAUCCAUUGUACCUACUUAUGCUUAUGUUUAGAUUUUCCAUAAUGAAAAUAAAUAAAUCAUUUAUUUUAAAUUAUAUAUGUGCUGGGCUGAGCAGGAGGAUCACAGGUUAGAGCUCAACCUAGCAAGACUCUUUCAAAAACUAAUUUAAAAGGGCUGGAGCUAUGCUUCAAUGGGAAAGCCAUGGUUUCAAUCCCCAGUACCACUCACACACACACACAAAAAAGUUCAAGGCCAGCCUGAGCAACUUAGCAAGAUAGCAAAACAAUGUCUCAGAAUAAUUUUUAAAGUGUUGGAGAUAUAGCCCAAUACUCCCUAGCUUCAAUCCUCAGCACUGCCAA